CUCCUUUGACGUUAGCGGCGGACGGGUGAGUAACACGUGGGUAACCUACCUAUAAGACUGGGAUAACUUCGGGAAACCGGAGCUAAUACCGGAUAAUAUUUCGAACCGCAUGGUUCGAUAGUGAAAGAUGGUUUUGCUAUCACUUGUAGGUGGACCCGCGCCGUAUUAGCUAGUUGGUAAGGUAACGGCUUACCAAGGCGACGAUACGUAGCCGACCUGAGAGGGUGAUCGGCCACACUGGAACUGAGACACGGUCCAGACUCCUACGGGAGGCAGCAGCC
rnacentral:rRNA from 1 species